rnacentral:rRNA from 1 species
AUACAUGCAAGUCGAACGCGUCUCCGUUAAUGAUUUUAGGUGCUUGCACUUGAAAGAUUUAACAUUGAGACGAGUGGCGAACUGGUGAGUAACACGUGGGUAACCUGCCCUUGAAGUAGGGGAUAACACUUGGAAACAGGUGCUAAUACCGUAUAACAACCAAAACCACCUGGUUUUGGUUUAAAAGACGGCUUCGGCUGUCACUUUAGGAUGGACCCGCGGCGUAUUAGCUUGUUGGUAAGGUAACGGCCUACCAAGGCGAUGAUACGUAGCCGACCUGAGAGGGUAAUCGGCCACAUUGGGACUGAGACACGGCCCAAACUCCUACGGGAGGCAGCAGUAGGGAAUCUUCCACAAUGGACGAAAGUCUGAUGGAGCAACGCCGCGUGAGUGAUGAAGGGUUUCGGCUCGUAAAACUCUGUUGUUGGAGAAGAACAGGUGUCAGAGUAACUGUUGACAUCUUGACGGUAUCCAACCAGAAAGCCACGGCUAACUACGUGCCAGCAGCCGCGGUAAUACGUAGGUGGCAAGCGUUGUCCGGAUUUAUUGGGCGUAAAGCGAGCGCAGGCGGUUUUUUAGGUCUGAUGUGAAAGCCUUCGGCUUAACCGGAGAAGUGCAUCGGAAACCGGGAGACUUGAGUGCAGAAGAGGACAGUGGAACUCCAUGUGUAGCGGUGAAAUGCGUAGAUAUAUGGAAGAACACCAGUGGCGAAGGCGGCUGUCUGGUCUGUAACUGACGCUGAGGCUCGAAAGCAUGG